ACUCCGACAAAAGGACGAUGUUCGGAACAUGUAAGGUUGACAGGUCAAAGCCUUUAGAAUAUUACUAACCAAAAUCGAUUAUCCAUUGUUUGCAGCCUUUGGUCUAUGAAUAAAAGGCAACAUUUCAUAUUGUAACAGAAUUGCAUAUUUUGGUGAAUUUUUGCACCUAGCCAUUGAGGCAAUAUUGAUGACAAUUUUACUUGUGUGGCUUUCAGUAAUAAGAGUUAUUAUUAAG
rnacentral:lncRNA from 1 species